CUCCUACGGGAGGCAGCAGUAGGGAAUUUUCGGCAAUGGGGGCAACCCUGACCGAGCAACGCCGCGUGAGUGAAGAAGGUUUUCGGAUCGUAAAGCUCUGUUGUAAGAGAAGAACGUGUGUGAGAGUGGAAAGUCACACAGGACGUACUACAGA
rnacentral:rRNA from 1 species